rnacentral:lncRNA from 1 species
AAAGAUUUGAUGUAAAAGGUCGAUCCUAGGUCCUAGAUCUUUUGAUAGAUUCUAGAUUACUGGAAAACAUGAAUUAAGAUGAAAGUAAGAACGACAAGAAGUGAGCUUAUGGGAUAUUCACCAUGUAAUAUUUACAUUAAUCUUCUAAUUAUGUUCCAAAUAUAUGCAUGCAUAAUACCGAAUAACAAUCGACAGCAUUCAAUAGCCUUGAAGAACAUCGUGGAAUAGAGAAACAAAAUGUGCAGCAAAAAGAAAAUGAGAUUAAACAGUA